UUCUAGUAUUUGCUGAAUUGCGUUAUGGAUUCCGUUACCACGGACAAUAACGCAAUUCUAUAACAGAAUGCAUAACGGAAUGCCUUUAGAGGCAUUCCGUUAUUUAUUCCGUCAUAGUAGAAGUCUAUGGUCUGCAAAACGUAUCUGCCCCAUUUCCGUUAUGCAGGAG